CGGGGUGUCGUAUAGUGGUAGUAUACAGACUUCGGGAGUCUGUGGCUUGAGUUCGAUUCUCAGCACCCCGA
rnacentral:tRNA from 1 species